rnacentral:rRNA from 1 species
UACGAGGGGGGCAAAUGUUGUUCGGAAUCACUGGGCGUAAAGGGAGCGUAGGCGGGUUUCUAAGUCAGGUGUUUAAUCCCGGGGCCCAACCCCGGACAGGCACUUGAAACUGGGAAUCUUGAAUAGUGGAGAGGUCAGUGGAAUUGGGGGUGUAGCGGUGGAAUGCGUAGAGAUCCCCAAGAACACCAGUUGCGAAGGCGGCUGACUGGACACAUAUUGACGCUGAGGCUCGAAAGCAUAGGGAGCAAACAGG